rnacentral:lncRNA from 1 species
GUCUACAAAAUUUAUUUCAAUAUUUCAUUUAAGCACAUGAUCUCUAAUGAAAUGAUAUUUUAUUUAUAUGUGCUUUGUUCCAGAAUGUUGAACUAGAUUUUUGAAGAUAUUUAUGGCAUUCAUUUUAUCACAAAGAUAAGAACUUUAUGCAUAGCCAUUCCAAAGUCAUUUAGUUGCUACCUAAUCCAUAGAAUUUGUGCACAACAACUACCUAGUGAUAUAUACUUAACUUCAGCAGUUG